CUCGGCGGCGAGGCCUGCAAAGUAAAGCAGCAGCGCACCACACACAUCCGCAGCAUCCGUGGCAGUGGCUGGUGCCGGACUGUUGUCGCUCUAGCUCUGGAUUUUGCCUAUUUCUGUAAAAAAAGUGUUUGCAUCUCCAACUCUUCCGGCGGCUGACAGUGCGCAAAUUUCGCUGACUAAGGCAAGAAUUAUCAAUCACUCUUGGUGUUUAUUGUUAUGCUAAUCGGUGACAACAAAAGCCGGCUGCCCUUCAUUGUGUGAAGCGCGGCUCCAUCGGGCUUCGACACCACGGUUGAACAGGCGUGAAAUUAAAAAGUAAAAAAAACACUCCAAUAAUAAGAAAGACUGUUUUUCAAGGACAGAUAUUUCUCUAUUUACUGCUACGAGCUGCAUAGUGAAAAACCGUGGACAAUUUUCGCACCGAAACAAAGGGGCGAGAAGCAGACGAUUGCAAAGCAACACAUUAGGAAACAGAGAUCUCCUCUGUGCACGGCGGGAGCCUCGCGAAUCCCAAGGUACUCACUUUUGCUCGGUCGCGAACAACUCGUUAAGUUGGCGAAAGGACGCUGGAGAGUGUCUCCUGGCGUCGACCCAGCACAAGGUAGGGCAAUUGAGCCGGAAAAUAAAUAACCGCCACGGGCCCAGCCGCAACGUAUGCUCUCGCGAAAGAGCCCUCUCCAUAUAAGC